AUUGAACGCUGGCGGUAUGCCUUACACAUGCAAGUCGAACGGUAGAGGAGCAAUCCUCGAGAGUGGCGAACGGGUGAGUAAUACAUCGGAACGUGCCCAGUCGUGGGGGACAACGUAGCGAAAGCUACGCUAAUACCGCAUACGACCCGAGGGUGAAAGCGGGGGACUCGCAAGAGCCUCGCGCGAUUGGAGCGGCCGAUGGCAGAUUAGGUAGUUGGUGGGGUAAAGGCCCACCAAGCCUGCGAUCUGUAGCUGGCCUGAGAGGACGACCAGCCACACUGGGACUGAGACACGGCCCAGACUCCUACGGGAGGCAGCAGUGGGGAAUUUUGGACAAUGGGCGAAAGCCUGAUCCAGCCAUACCGCGUGCGGGAAGAAGGCCUCGG
rnacentral:rRNA from 1 species